rnacentral:tRNA from 1 species
GGUCGGCUCGCCCUAGGUGAAUUAGAGCAGCGUUUUUUGCACGCGAAGGUCGCAGGUUCGAUCCCUGCGUCGACCA